CCCUGUCUUUGUUUGGUUUUAGUUAACCUCUUUCGUUUUUUGAGUUUCUUUUUGUAAAUAUGUAUUUUCUGUAUGGAGCUGGGUUAGCCGUUCCAUAGGGGUCAGGAUGGAGUUGGCCCUGGAUCUGCUGUUACUACUGAUCCUCAGGAACAACUACAUGGCCGUGACAGAGUUUACAGAUGAAGCAAAUGGAGGGAGAAUAUUCACCAUCAUCAUGAUCAUCAUCCGAAUCCUGGAUCCCCUCCCCUCUCCAUAGGCCUGUUCUUCCCUCUCUCUGUUGGCAUGGUAAUGGAUGGCUGGGCUGUAAACUGAAUGAGGGACUGUUUAAUAUGAGGCAGAACGGAACCAUAAUGGACACAUGAAUGGC
rnacentral:lncRNA from 1 species